GAUUGAACGCUGGCGGAAUGCUUUACACAUGCAAGUCGAGCGGCAGCGCGGGGGCAACCCUGGCGGCGAGCGGCGAACGGGUGAGUAAUACAUCGGAACGUGUCCUUGAGUGGGGGNUAGCUCGGCGAAAGCCGGAUUAAUACCGCAUAAGCUCUGAGGAGGAAAGCGGGGGAUUCGCAAGGACCUCGCGCUGUUGGAGCGGCCGAUGUCGGAUUAGCUAGNGGGUGGGGUAAAGGCCCACCAAGGCGACGAUCCGUAGCUGGUCUGAGAGGAUGAUCAGCCACACUGGAACUGAGACACGGUCCAGACUCC
rnacentral:rRNA from 1 species